rnacentral:rRNA from 1 species
UUUUAUAUGAGAGUUUGAUCCUGGCUCAGGAUGAACGCCGGCGGUGUGCCUAAUACAUGCAAGUCGAACGCGUUGGCCCAAUUGAUUGAUGGUGCUUGCACCUGAUUGAUUUUGGUCGCCAACGAGUGGCGGACGGGUGAGUAACACGUAGGUAACCUGCCCAGAA